UUAAAAUGGUUGAUAAUGAAAACAUUUUUUCUUUCAAAUUUGACUUAUGAAGAAUGCAGACACAUUUUUUCCCCCCAGAUGAAGAUCUAGCACAGAUCAUGUGUUUUGGGAUCAUGUGGCGGGGUGGGGUUCCCAAUUUCACAAAGUAGGCAUAGAAAAACUAGGAUUCUUCACUGGGCUGGAGAUUUUCCUUCUCCUUUUCCUUCAACUUGAAGGGAUUAUGGCUUUACCAGGAAAGGGAGAUAUUGGAGGCAAGAAGGAAUGAAAGGAAAGGGGAAUGAAAAAGGAAGGAGAAGAAACAACAAGGAAGAUCAGAGGUAGGGAAAAGAGACAGAAGAAGAGGCAAUGAUAAAGGGAGCUGGAGACAGAGAAGAGAGAGAAGGGAAGGAAAGGCUUGGACGAGAAGUCGAGGGUGAAUGUCAUUCCUGGUGAAGGCUCUUAGAGGAAGGGUUAGGGGAAAAUUGCAGAGGUCAGACAGAACCAGCAGAGACCAGGGCCUCUGCAAACAAGAGAGAAGAAAAAGUGAAAAUGGAACAAAUAUAUGAUUAAAAGUUCGCAGUCAAGAUGGCUGGUUGACUACACACCAUAGC